rnacentral:rRNA from 1 species
GAUGAACGCUAGCGGGAGGCUUAACACAUGCAAGUCGAGGGGCAUCACGAGGUAGCAAUACUUUGGUGGCGACCGGCAAACGGGUGAGUAACGCGUAUGCAACCUACCCUGUACAGGGGGAUAACCCGGAGAAAUUCGGACUAAUAUCCCGUAAUAAUAUCCGGAGGCAUCUUUGGAUAUUUAAAGUUCCGACGGUACGGGAUGGGCAUGCGUAACAUUAACUGGUUGGUAAGGUAACGGCUUACCAAGGCUAUGAUGUUUAGGGGUCCUGAGAGGGUGGUCCCCCACACUGGUACUGAGACACGGACCAGACUCCUACGGGAGGCAGCAGUGAGGAAUAUUGGUCAAUGGGCGCAAGCCCUGAACCAGCCAUCCCGCGUGCAGGAAGACGGCCCUAUGGGUUGUAAACUGCUUUUCCAGGGAGAGAAACUUACGCACGUGUUGCGUGACUGACGGUACCCUGGGAAUAAGCAUCGGCUAACUCCGUG